rnacentral:rRNA from 1 species
AGUGAACGCUGGCGGUAGGCCUAACACAUGCAAGUCGAACGGCAGCACAGUAAGAGCUUGCUCUUACGGGUGGCGAGUGGCGGACGGGUGAGGAAUACAUCGGAAUCUACUUUUUCGUGGGUGAUAACGUAGGGAAACUUACGCUAAUACCGCAUACGACCUACGGGUGAAAGCAUGGGAUCUUCGGACCUUGCGCGAUUGAAUGAGCCGAUGUCGGAUUAGCUAGUUGGCGGGGUAAAGGCCCACCAAGGCGACGAUCCGUAGCUGGUCUGAGAGGAUGAUCAGCCACACUGGAACUGAGACACGGUCCAGACUCCUACGGGAGGCAGCAGUGGGGAAUAUUGGACAAUGGGCGCAAGCCUGAUCCAGCCAUACCGCGUGGGUGAAGAAGGCCUUCGGGUUGUAAAGCCCUUUUGUUGGGAAAGAAAAGCAGCAGGUUAAUACCCCGCUGUUCUGACGGUACCAAAAGAAUAAGCACCGGCUAACUUCGUG